rnacentral:rRNA from 1 species
GACGAACGCUGGCGGCGUGCCUAAUACAUGCAAGUUGAGCGAUGAAGAUUGGUGCUUGCACCAAUUUGAAGAGCAGCGAACGGGUGAGUAACGCGUGGGGAAUCUGCCUUUGAGCGGGGGACAACAUUUGGAAACGAAUGCUAAUACCGCAUAACAACUUUAAACAUAAGUUUUAAGUUUGAAAGAUGCAAUUGCAUCACUCAAAGAUGAUCCCGCGUUGUAUUAGCUAGUUGGUGAGGUAAAGGCUCACCAAGGCGAUGAUACAUAGCCGACCUGAGAGGGUGAUCGGCCACAUUGGGACUGAGACACGGCCCAAACUCCUGCGGGAGGCAGCAGUGGGGAAUCUUCGGCAAUGGACGAAAGUCUGACCGAGCAACGCCGCGUGAGUGAAGAAGGUUUUCGGAUCGUAAAACUCUGUUGGUAGAGAAGAACGUUGGUGAGAGUGGAAAGCUCAUCAAGUGACGGUAACUACCCAGAAAGGGACGGCUAACUACGUG